ACCGGGGACUAGUGCUGAGAGGGGCGCGAGCUGGGACCGGACUGGGGGACGUUGAGGGUUGCCCUGGGAACCUCUGGGAGGCCUUUCCAGAGGGGAGGGCCCCGGACCUGGACCAAGGAAGAGUGGUGGUGGUGAAGAAGUUGGAGCUUGUUCAUAACGGAAUAUCACAGCGACAACCACAGUUCAGAAAUUACCUGUUCUCUUUCUGCCUUAUGAGGAGACAAAAUUCCAAAGCCUGGACUGUACCUGAUUGACAGGUGGAAGCAGAUAAUUCUGAGCCCCAGGAAAUAAUGGAGGCAUAAAAUUAACAAGUCUGCUGUGUGAGUCACCAGAUGGAGGACAGCUGCCAACCAAGCAGGACACCUGUGGCAAGAAAUCAACUAUUGUAUGAAGUCACUGAAAUCAAGAGAGUUCUUUGUUACAGUAGCUGACAUCAUAUGCACUGAUACUCCGACCCUUCCUCUCUGGUCCCCUGAUAGCAGUAAACCUUGGGCAUCCCCCUGUCAUUCGGUGAAAUGAGCCUCUAAUCCCCAGUUGUGAUGUUCAGGCUUUCACAUAGCACUUUCAUACAGUGGCCCAAAGGCUCUAUGUUUACUAAUUAAAAGUUAUCAGUAUAUUCCCCUCCAUUCUUUGCACAAAUGUAAACUUUCCCCCGUGUUCUUACGGAAGUUCUCCUCCAGGUUGACAGUUGGGAGUCAUUAAAGCAGAAUCCUGAACAUUGCAUUAGGUCUUCUACCAUAGUUAAGCAGAGCCUCAUGCACAGGAUCUUGUGGUUGCCCUAUAGAAGUCAGGGCUUGCCAGAAAUCCAUCAGUCUGAUUUAGGGUGGUUAGUGUAUAUGUUUGGGAGGGUGGGAGGAUGUACUCAUCUUCCUGCCCAUCUCUUUUGACCCAUCCAUAUGGGAAUGCACCUUCAGACCUAACCUUUAAAGUGAGUUCCUUGGGGCGCCUGGGUGGCUCAGUUGGUUAAGCAUCUGCCUUCGGCUCAGGUCAUGA